rnacentral:rRNA from 1 species
UGUGAGAGUACCUGAAGAAAAAGCAUCGGCUAACUCCGUGCCAGCAGCCGCGGUAAUACGGAGGAUGCGAGCGUUAUCCGGAUUUAUUGGGUUUAAAGGGUGCGCAGGCGGAGGCACAAGUCAGCGGUAAAAUCGCGGGGCUCAACCCCGCUCCGCCGUUGAAACUGUGUCCCUUGAGUGCGCGAAGGGUAGGCGGAAUGCGUGGUGUAGCGGUGAAAUGCAUAGAUAUCACGCAGAACUCCGAUCGCGAAGGCAGCCUACCGGCGCGCUACUGACGCUCAUGCACGAAAGCGUGGGUAUCGAACAGGAUUAGAUACCCUGGUAGUCCACGCAGUAAACGAUGAAUGCUAUCUGUCCGGCCGGAAUGACGGCUGGGUGGCACAGCGAAAGCGUUAAGCAUUCCACCUGGGGAGUACGCCGGCAACGGUGAAACUCAAAGGAAUUGACGGGGGCCCGCACAAGCGGAGGAACAUGUGGUUUAAUUCGAUGAUACGCGAGGAACCU